rnacentral:rRNA from 1 species
UACAGAGGGUGCAAGCGUUAAUCGGAUUUAUUGGGCGUAAAGAGCGUGUAGGCGGCCAGGUAGGUCUGGUGUGAAAACUCGAGGCUUAACCUCGAGAUGUCAUCGGAAACCAUUUGGCUAGAGUCCGGAAGAGGAGAGUGGAAUUCCUGGUGUAGCGGUGAAAUGCGCAGAUAUCAGGAAGAACACCAAUGGCGAAAGCAGAUCUAUGGGACGGUACUGACGCUGAGACGCGAAAGCGUGGGGAGAGAACAGG